UGGGAAUAUUGCACAAUGGGCGAAAGCCUGAUGCAGCAACGCCGCGUGAGUGAUGAAGGUCUUCGGAUUGUAAAGCUCUGUCUUUUGGGACGAUAAUGACGGUACCAAAGGAGGAAGCCACGGCUAACUACGUGCCAGCAGCCGCGGUAAUACGUAGGUGGCGAGCGUUGUCCGGAUUUACUGGGCGUAAAGGGUGCGUAGGCGGAUGUUUAAGUGAGAUGUGAAAUACCCGGGCUUAACUUGGGUGCUGCAUUUCAAACUGGAUAUCUAGAGUGCAGGAGAGGAGAAUGGAAUUCCUAGUGUAGCGGUGAAAUGCGUAGAGAUUAGGAAGAACACCAGUGGCGAAGGCGAUUCUCUGGACUGUAACUGACGCUGAGGCACGAAAGCGUGGGUAGCAAACAGGAUUAGAUACCCUGGUAGUCCACGCCGUAAACGAUGAGUACUAGGUGUAGGAGGUAUCGACCCCUUCUGUGCCGCAGUAAACACAUUAAGUACUCCGCCUGGGAAGUAC
rnacentral:rRNA from 1 species